rnacentral:rRNA from 1 species
UGCCAGCAGCCGCGGUAAUACGGAGGGUGCAAGCGUUGUUCGGAAUCACUGGGCGUAAAGCGCGCGUAGGCGGCCUGUCGUGUCUGAUGUGAAAGCCCGGGGCUCAACCCCGGAAGUGCAUUGGAAACUGGCGAACUUGAGUAUGGGAGAGGAAAGUGGAAUUCCGAGUGUAGGAGUGAAAUCCGUAGAUAUUCGGAGGAACACCAGUGGCGAAGGCGGCUUUCUGGACCAAUACUGACGCUGAGGUGCGAAAGCUAGGGGAGCAAACGGGAUUAGAUA